AAAUAGGCAAUCAAACGUCAAAAUUACCCCCCACUAGAGGGCGCUCAAACUUGGGGUGAUGUUUUCAUUAUAACCUACAGCGAGUAAAUUGGUUUGAAAUUUGAAAUUGUUUUAUUUCAUCAUAAAAUCGACAUUAAUAGCAAAUUAUACCAUUUUCAGGUAAGAAAUGAAUAGCUUAAUUGAUAUAAACAAAAAUAUUUUUGUGAUGGUCGAUUUAACCUGUUCAUUAUCUGAUUCAAAAUAAGGGAAUGUUUUAAUCAACCAAAACAUAACUAAUCAAUUGAGAAUGUAGAUUAUUCAAGUGGACAAUUAUUUUUUAAAGUCACUUCUACCAUAAAAGCAGAGAUCUGCUUGAAAAAUGAUAAUUGGAUUGAUUUUCAAAAUUAGCAAUCUAACCUCACUCUCGCGUUUUCAAUCCGGAUCUCAGAAUUUUCAAUGAAAAAGGCAACUUAGCAAAAAAAAUCAAAAAGUCAGUCGAUAGAACUUUUUAUUUCUUACCUCCUGUUAACUUUAUUUUAUUCCAAAAGAUCAAUUUUCUUUUAAAAAAUCUUAGAAUAGUUUUCACUCCCCUUUGCACUUAUCGCGCAAAACCGUAAACGUAACCUUGCACCAAAGUUCUCCUACUCGAAUGUAGGUGGCGAAUAGAGUUUUUAGCUUUGGUUUUGGGGGCCUAUAAACUCAAUAAACUCAAUGUGCGAAAAUUUCAACCGUCAUUAUUUGUUCUGUUCUACUAGUCAACAUUAGGUGUCGCAUGGUGUGAAUUGACCAAAUUAUACGCUCAUUUUGUGCUCUUCAUUUCACAGUGCAGCAAACGCCAGUCAUGUUGAAUGUUUUGACAAUUAAUUAAAUUAAUUUAAUAAUCGCGAAAAAUAUUAUUGGUCUCGUUAGAAAGUUUUGAGAAUUUUUUAACUUUCGGCGCAAGUAUUUCAGCUUUUUAAUGACUAAGGAAGAGCUGUACCGUCCACCUUCGAGCAGGAGCCGCAUCGAUACACCAACGGUGCUGUUCCGGGACGCGCAACCAUUGGCCUGUAUGGGUGUGGAGCGGGGUCGGAUCGACGAAGCCGACCUGAAUGCGGUCGUCUAGCCGGGUGGCAAGAUCCAGAUUAUUUUCGGCACGCGGGUGUUCCGGUGGCGCGCAUGGAUGGAAGAAGGAGAACCAAGAGGAUAGCACUCCGCUCAUUGUGAUCUCGAUGGCGCAGAUCAUAAUUCUUGAAUCUCUGGACUGUCGAGCAAUCAAACGCGGGUGAUUAAAUGUUGUCAAUCUGCUCCCGCAGAAACACUCGUUUUAUAAAAAUAAAGUGGAAAUAAAUAGUUAUUUCAGCAUGAA